UAUUGGGGGACCCCAAAACUGGACACAGUACUCCAGAUUUGGCCUCACCAGUGCUGAAUGGAAGGGAAUAAUCACGGUCCUUGAUCCACUGGCAACACCCCGACAGCUGUGUG